rnacentral:rRNA from 1 species
CCUACGGGUGGCAGCAGUGAGGAAUAUUGGUCAAUGGACGAGAGUCUGAACCAGCCACGUAGCGUGAAGGAUGACUGCCCUAUGGGUUGUAAACUUCUUUUAUAUGGGAAUAAAAUGUUCCACGUGUGGGAUUUUGUAUGUCCCAUAUGAAUAAGGAUCGGCUAACUCCGUGCCAGCAGCCGCGGUAAUACGGAGGAUCCGAGCGUUAUCCGGAUUUAUUGGGUUUAACGGGAGCGUAGGUGGAUUGUUAAGUCAGUUGUGAAAGUUUGCGGCUCAACCGUAAAAUUGCAGUUGAAACUGGCAGUCUUGAGUACAGUAGAGGUGGGCGGAAUUCGUGGUGUAGCGGUGAAAUGCUUAGAUAUCACGAAGAACUCCGAUUGCGAAGGCAGUUCACUGGACUGCAACUGACACUGAGGCUCGAAAGUGUGGGUAUCAAACAGGAUUAGAUACCCGGGUAGUC